CAGGGUGACAGCCCCGUACACAAAAGCGCAUGUGCUGUGAGCUCGAUGAGUAGGGCGGGACACGUGGUAUCCUGUCUGAAUAUGGGGGGACCAUCCUCCAAGGCUAAAUACUCCUGACUGACCGAUAGUGAACCAGUACCGUGAGGGAAAGGCGAAAAGAACCCCGGCGAGGGGAGUGAAAAAGAACCUGAAACCGUGUACGUACAAGCAGUGGGAGCACCCUUUGGGUGUGACUGCGUACCUUUUGUAUAAUGGGUCAGCGACUUAUAUUCUGUAGCAAGGUUAACCGAAUAGGGGAGCCGGAGGGAAACCGAGUCUUAACCGGGCGUUAAGUUGCAGGGUAUAGACCCGAAACCCGGUGAUCUAGCCAUGGGCAGGUUGAAGGUUGGGUAACACUAACUGGAGGACCGAACCGACUAAUGUUGAAAAAUUAGCGGAUGACCUGUGGCUGGGGGUGAAAGGCCAAUCAAACCGGGAGAUAGCUGGUUCUCCCCGAAAGCUAUUUAGGUAGCGCCUCGUGAAUUCAUCUCCGGGGGUAGAGCA
rnacentral:rRNA from 1 species